rnacentral:rRNA from 1 species
GAUGAACGCUGGCGGCGUGCCUAAUACAUGCAAGUCGAGCGAACGGACGAGAAGCUUGCUUUUCUGAUGUUAGCGGCGGACGGGUGAGUAACACGUGGAUAACCUACCUAUAAGACUGGGAUAACUUCGGGAAACCGGAGCUAAUACCGGCUAAUCUUUUGAACCGCAUGGUUCAAAAGUGUAAGACGGUCUUGCUGUCACUUAUCGAUGGAUCCGCGCUGCAUUAGCUAGUUGGUAAGGUAACGGCUUACCAAGGCAACGAUGCAUAGCCGACCUGAGAGGGUGAUCGGCCACACUGGAACUGAGACACGGUCCAGACUCCUACGGGAGGCAGCAGUAGGGAAUCUUCCGCAAUGGGCGAAAGCCUGACGGAGCAACGCCGCGUGAGUGAUGAAGGUCUUCGGAUCGUAAAACUCUGUUAUUAGGGAAGAACAGAUGUGUAAGUAACUGUGCACAUCUUGACGGUACCUAAACAGAAAGCCACGGCUAACUACGUG